rnacentral:lncRNA from 1 species
CCUUUCCUCUCUGGUAGUAUAAAGCACUUCAUAAGUAUGAGCCAAAUAAUCUUAUUUCUGCUCAGUUAUGACCACCGCGAAGCGGGUUUGCGAAGUGGCAACCUGAUGGAGCUGGAGGAGCUGCCGUUUCCCGCGAGCCCUGCUGGGUGUGAAACCCGCUCCCCCACCCGCGCCCUCUCCGCUGCCGCCACGCUGGCUGCAAACAGCCCGUUUUACAGUUUGCAACUUUGAAAGAGGAAUGUGGACUCUGUAGAAAUGCGAUAAUUUCUGCUGUACAAAGAAGCUCUUCCUUAAACACCUAAAGUCCUGGUUCGUUCAGUAUGAGCUCUGCUUUCGUCACUUUUUAUUCCAAAUAUUUUCAGUAUUACUCAAGGUCACACGUUUUGGUGCAAAAAGUACGAAUGUCAUCUCCUGCACGCUGAAAAUGCAGAUGAACCUGCAAGCAAGGCUGAGCUGAAUGGAAAAACGAGGUUUCAUAACAGCGCAAGUCUUCUUGAGCAUAAAAUACUUGAGGUCACAAUGUCCCGAUCUGGAGAAUGGAGUCCGGCCUUGCAGAGUGGAAGGAGAAGUGGGCCAUGCUCCUGCCCUGAUUCCCUCAGCACUGCUGCAUGAGAAGAGCUAUUUGCAGAAAGGAUUUGCCCCUGCGGUAUGGGGUUUCCUAUUUCUCCUGCCUGCUCUCUGGCCAUCCUACGGCUGGAAUUAUGCUGCCUCCAAGAGGGCUGUUUCCAGCUGCAGAGGGGAACCACAGGGCUGUUCAGGUGGCAAAGUGGGGCUACCCGAGACGUCAUACUCACAAUAAGGCACUGAGAAACUGAGACAUGAAGCUGAGACCGGACACUUGCUGGGUGGGUGAAGCCAGAGGGAAGGACCGAUGGUGCUGCAGCGGGAUCGCCCAGCGCAGAACCAGAUGCCGAUGAAGACCGUUCCUGAGCUGCGGUGAGGAGGCAUCUUUGCUGAAUUGAAUGCUUUUUCUACUUUUUCUGUUGCCCGUAUUUUCAAAAUAUCCGUUUCUCUUAUCUGCCGUGAUGUAGUUGCUGACAGCACUGUUGGCAGUUUUAGACGCCUUUUGUUCCCUUCCUUUCUCUUCCAGCCCUUCUCUCAUCUGAAAAAAGCCUGAGUAGGAAUGAGCCUUCCUGCUCACCCCUGCUUUGUCCCACUGCGAGCACUUCUUUAGAAGGUUUUACCCAUCUCUAGGUGGGAAAACAUCUGAAAAAAGGUUUCCUUUUACAACUUCCCAGGGUUUCCAACUGAUUCGAAAUUUACUCCCAGUUUAUAGUAUAAAUAUUUGCUACUAGUCCCAGGUACGUGACCCUGCAUUCAAUACAAGUGAAUAUCAUCCCGUUUCUCGUGUGGCAGUACUCAGCCGUAUCACCGCUCCUCUAGAUCCAUGCAGUCUGGAUCUGUGCUACUGUCUCCCAACUUUGGGUCAACAGCAAAUUUCAACAGGCUUCUUAUGCCAUGUUUGUUCAUUAAAAUGUUAAGAAUGAUAAUUCUGAAGGAAGUCUGGAGAAUACAUAACCUCUCUUAGAGACCGACACUGCCCUAUCGCAGUACAUGUUAUCAGCUCCCCUUAGCUAAGCCUCUUCCCAUGUUACAGAUGUUACAUUGAUUCUCUAUUUUUCUACCUCACUGGUAUUUUCCCAUGCAGCACCAUGUCUAAUGCUCUAGCUAAAUUCAGAUAGAUUACAUCUACUGCCUUUCCUUUGUUUAGGUAGUCAGUUAUGCUAUCAGAGGGAGAUAUCUGAUUAUUCCGGCAUUGUCAAACCUUGAUACAUUCAUUUGCAUUUUAUCUCAUUUUCUGUUUGCCUCAUGUCACUAACUCUUUUCUUCAGCUUUUUUUUUUUUUAAACCUUUCAUAAGAUGGAAGCCAGAGCAUUGGACCAUAAUCUAUUCUAAUCAUUUCCCUUUCUUCUCCGUUGAAAACAAACUAUUUUCCAGGUACAUUGAUAUAAUCCCUUGCUUACUGCCUAGAGUAGCUCCAUCUGACAGCCCUUCCAGAGUCCAGGAAAGGGGACAGUCCAGUUUGCCUACCAGAGCACAAUGACAGUUUGGAUUUUUGCUUCCACCUCAGGGAUGGGGCUUUCCAUUUCCACGAUCUCUUGUCUUCCCUUUGCGCUAUGCUCAGUGCUGUCUUCCCAAGGAAAACAAAGUAUUCCUGGACGGCUGCAAGAAGCUCAGUGAAAGCUGCUAUCCACUGCUCACCAUACGCUCUUUUUAAGAGAGUUCUUUUUUUAUAGUGCUCUCUGUAGCUAUGGAAAAAUAUUGUGCUAUUUUUCUUUAUAUAAACAGGCCGUUCUUUACACCCACCAAAAGUAAUCACAAACUGUGUUUGGACUCCGAAAGCACAGAGGACUUCCCAGACUUGGAUGAAAGUAGUUAGUUGAGGUUUAUAUAAUUCUUAUUUGAAUUCAUUAUACAUGCACGGAUACAUGAAUCUUGCAAGAACUUUUCUAACUAAGUAUUAGUGCCUAAGGAAUACUGCUCUGCAGAGAUAAAAGCCCAGAUCCAGCAGACCCUUGUAUCAGAAAUUCUUAUCUGAUUUUCAACAUUUAUAGAAGGAUAAUUACCUUCCUCCUCUCACCGUCCACUGUUUUAAAAAGGAGUUGUAUAAACUUAUUUCCCUCGCAGAGGAGGUAGCAAAAGCUUGAGAUGCAGUUAACCCUGGCUUAUAAUCCCAGUUCCUUCAUUGGGUUAUACCUGGGCUCUUGCCAGGUCAUUACAUCAACAUUUUGAAGGGCCUUCACCAAGGCUAUUUGCCUUCAUUUUUUUUUUUUUUUUUUUCUGAUUAUUUAUCUUGAGAAAUCAAGAAUUUAAUUUCAGUAGAACAUGUCCCUGUUGCUUUUAGGUCAAAGAGAAGGAGCCUAGUGGACGUCAGGCCACCAGCAUAUGCCGAUAGUAGGACGCACCAUUCAGAAAUUCUUGGUGGCUGCACACACAAAAUGAUACCGGUAAUAGGAGGGAUGUGUUGCACUAUUGUACGGAGCAUUACAGUUUACCAUAUUUUCAAAGAGCAUAUGAAUGAUAGGAAAGAUAAGGGAAUGAUUACUGAGCAGGAGCCUGGUUCAAUCUGUCUAUCAGACCUGGAAACAUUUGGCUCUUGCAAAUAAUCUUUAAUUAGAUAGGUCACACUAUUAAAGUCAAUGGCUUCUUCUGUGAACAAGGACUGCUCAGCAGGCUAAGCGUUUGUUGAACUGAUUUCUAAGUCUUAAAUGCUCAGAGAAAACACAUUUUUUUAAAUAAAUUCUUGUUGCUGUACUUCA